rnacentral:rRNA from 1 species
GGGGAAUAUUGCACAAUGGGCGCAAGCCUGAUGCAGCAACGCCGCGUGAGGGACGACGGCCUUCGGGUUGUAAACCUCUUUUGGCAGGGAAGAAGCGAAAGUGACGGUACCUGCAGAAAAAGCACCGGCUAACUACGUGCCAGCAGCCGCGGUGAUACGUAGGGUGCAAGCGUUGUCCGGAAUUAUUGGGCGUAAAGAGCUCGUAGACGGUUUGUCGCGUCUGCUGUGAAAACCCGAGGCUCAACCUCGGGCCUGCAGUGGGUACGGGCAAACUAGAGUGCGGUAGGGGAGAUUGGAAUUCCUGGUGUGGCGGUGGAAUGCGCAGAUAUCAGGAGGAACACCGGUGGCGAAGGCAGAUCUCUGGGCCGUAACUGACGCUGAGGAGCGAAAGCAUGGGGAGCGAACA